rnacentral:pre_miRNA from 1 species
CAUUCUCUCUCUUCGAUUCUUGUUUCUCUUGCAAAACAGAUACCCUCUGUCUCUGAGUCCGAGAGAGUCCCUCUGAUAUUGGCCUGGUUCACUCAGAUUCUCCUAACUAACUCAUCUGAUUGAGCCGUGUCAAUAUCUCAGUCCUCUCUCGUCGCUUCUCUCAUACUUUAGAGAUUGUUUUGUUUUGUACACACGAGUUGUUUGUUGAUAUG